UGAAUACGAGAUGCUACGGCGUCGAAGCAGUGUAUGUCAGACUUCCAAGAAAAGCUCGCAAUGUCAUAAAUAAAGAAUGCCUGUACCAUAACCGACACAGGUGGGUAGGUAGAGUAUACUAAGGGGCGCGAGAUAACUCUCUCUAAGGAACUCGGCAAAAUAACUCCGUAACUUCGGGAGAAGGAGUGCCUUCUUUAAGAAGGUUGCAAUAACAAGAUCCAAGCAACUGUUUAUCAAAAACACAGGUCUCCGCUAAGUCGUAAGACGAUGUAUGGGGGCUGACGCCUGCCCAGUGCCAGAAGGUUAAAGAAGCUGGUUAGCAAUAGCGAAGCUGGUGACUGAAGCCCUGGUGAACGGCGGCCGUAACGAUAACGGUCCUAAGGUAGCGAAAUUCCUUGUCGGGUAAGUUCCGACCCGCACGAAAGGCGUAAUGAUUUGGAUACUGUCUCGGAGAGGGACUCGGUGAAAUAGACUUGUCUGUGAAGAUGCGGACUACCUGCACCAGGACAGAAAGACCCUAUGAAGCUUUACUGUAACCUGAAAUUGAAAUUGGACUUUAUUUGCGCAGUAUAGGUGGGAGGCGUUGAAAGUAAUCUUGCGGGAUUAGUGGAGCCAUCAGUGAGAUACCACUCCUAUAAUGUUAGAUUUCUAACUUUGGAUCAUGAUCUGGUCAAAGAACAGUUUCAGGCGGGCAGUUUGACUGGGGCGGUCGCCUCCCAAAUGGUAACGGAGGCGUACAAAGGUUUCCUCUGAACGGGUAGAAAUCGUAUCUAGAGUGUAAAGGCAUAAGGAAGCUUGACUGUGAGACCUACAAGUCGAGCAGGGACGAAAGUCGGUCUUAGUGAUCUGACGGUGCUGAGUGGAAAGGCCGUCACUCAACGGAUAAAAGUUACUCUAGGAUAACAGGCUGAUCUCCCCCAAGAGUUCACAUCGACGGGGAGGUUUGGCACCUCGAUGUCGGCUCAUCGCAUCCUGGGGCGGUAGUACGUCCCAAGGGUUGGGCUGUUCGCCCAUGAAAGCGGUACGCGAGCUGGGUUCAGAACGUCGUGAGACAGUUCGGUCCAUAUCCGGUGUAGGCGUUAGAAUAUUGAGAGGAGCCUUCUCUAGUACGAGAGGACCGAGAAGGACAUACCUCUGGUGUACCAGUUAUCGUGCCAACGGUAAACGCUGGGUAGCUAUGUAUGGAGAGGAUAACCGCUGAAAGCAUCUAAGUGGGAAGCCCACCUCAAGAUGAGUAUUCUCAG
rnacentral:rRNA from 1 species